GACGAACGCUGGCGGCGUGCCUAAUACAUGCAAGUCGAGCGAGCGGAACCAACAGAUUUACUUCGGUAAUGACGUUGGGAAAGCGAGCGGCGGAUGGGUGAGUAACACGUGGGGAACCUGCCCCUAAGUCUGGGAUACCAUUUGGAAACAGGUGCUAAUACCGGAUAAGAAAGCAGAUCGCAUGAUCAGCUUUUUAAAGGCGGCGUAAGCUGUCGCUAAGGGAUGGCCCCGCGGUGCAUUAGCUAGUUGGUAAGGUAACGGCUUACCAAGGCAACGAUGCAUAGCCGAGUUGAGAGACUGAUCGGCCACAUUGGGACUGAGACACGGCCCAAACUCCUACGGGAGGCAGCAGUAGGGAAUCUUCCACAAUGGACGCAAGUCUGAUGGAGCAACGCCGCGUGAGUGAAGAAGGUUUUCGGAUCGUAAAGCUCUGUUGUUGGUGAAGAAGGAUAGAGGUAGUAACUGGCCUUUAUUUGACGGUAAUCAACCAGAAAGACACGGCUAACUACGUG
rnacentral:rRNA from 1 species